rnacentral:tRNA from 1 species
UAAAGUAUAGCAUAAUAAUAAUGCUUUUCACUUACACUGAAACCAUGGCUAAUAAUAGCCUACUUUAA